rnacentral:rRNA from 1 species
AUUGAACGCUGGCGGCAUGCCUUACACAUGCAAGUCGAACGGCAGCACGGGUGCUUGCACCUGGUGGCGAGUGGCGAACGGGUGAGUAAUACAUCGGAACAUGUCCUGUAGUGGGGGAUAGCCCGGCGAAAGCCGGAUUAAUACCGCAUACGAUCUACGGAUGAAAGCGGGGGCCCUUCGGGCCUCGCGCUAUAGGGUUGGCCGAUGGCUGAUUAGCUAGUUGGUGGGGUAAAGGCCUACCAAGGCGACGAUCAGUAGCUGGUCUGAGAGGACGACCAGCCACACUGGGACUGAGACACGGCCCAGACUCCUACGGGAGGCAGCAGUGGGGAAUUUUGGGCAAUGGGCGAAAGCCUGAUCCAGCAAUGCCGCGUGUGUGAAGAAGGCCUUCGGGUUGUAAAGCACUUUUGUCCGGAAAGAAAUCCUUGGCCCUAAUACGGUCGGGGGAUGACGGUACCGGAAGAAUAAGCACCGGCUAACUACGUG